rnacentral:rRNA from 1 species
UACGAAGGGGGCUAGCGUUGUUCGGAAUUACUGGGCGUAAAGCGCACGUAGGCGGAUUUGUAAGUCAGGGGUGAAAUCCCGGGGCUCAACCUCGGAACUGCCUUUGAUACUGCAAGUCUUGAGUCCGGAAGAGGUGAGUGGAAUUCCUAGUGUAGAGGUGAAAUUCGUAGAUAUUAGGAAGAACACCAGUGGCGAAGGCGGCUCACUGGUCCGGUACUGACGCUGAGGUGCGAAGGCGUGGGGAGCAAACAGG